GCAAAUGGACACGAAACAUCCUCCGGAUCCAUCAGGUCCAUCAGAUCCCAACAUAAAUCUUGGAGAAUUCGAAGAUCCGGUGGAUGGCUAUGCCGAUGAUGACCUUCUCACACCGGAUGACCUAAGCGGUAAGUGGAAUAAUAAUUAUUGAUAUUUAAUUUAAUAGAAAACUGGUUUAUUUCAGUAAGUGUCACUGGAAUGACGCCAUCUCGAUCGUUUCUGGAAACUGAAGAAUUCGAGACAGAGCUUGGAGGUGUUGAACCGUUCGAAGAUCUUUUCAACGACAUAUCAGCUCACGAAAUUAUUCAAGUAAUUGCUGAUGGGGAUCGAGUUGGAAGGUAAAUUAAUUUGAAUCCAAAAAUUAAUUAUCUUUUUUGUUUUAAUGAAUCAUAGUUUGCAGGCCAAUUGUUGUCGUAUAUGCUUAUCGGCUCCCAUCAAGCAAGGAAAUAGAUCAUGCCAGACUUCUACAGUAUUUGGUACAAAUUAUUGAUAAGGUUGGGAAUUUUUAAUAAAUAUAAUAUUUUGAUAAAAAUAAAAUUUGCAAUUUUCCAGAUCGUUGACCAAGACUACACAAUUGUCUAUUUUCACUAUGGCCUACGAAGUCACAACAAACCACCGGUACGGUGGCUGUUCCAGGCUUACAAACAACUUGAUCGUAGGUAAGUAUUUGAAUUCAAUUCAUCUCUUCUCUUUCAAAAAAACCGGUUUCCAGAUUCAAAAAGAACCUGAAAGCGCUCUACGUAGUGCAUCCAACACGAUUCAUCCGCAUUAUCUUCUCGCUGUUCAAAGGUUUCAUAUCGAGCAAGUUUGAGAACAAGUUCCACUAUGUCAUGUGUAUAGACGAGCUGGAGAACGCACUUUCAGUGGCAAGGUUCGUUUUUUCUUUUCUUAUUUUUUAAUUUUUUAAAUUGUUAUAAAAAAGAUUAUUUUCAGAUUAAAUCUUCCAAGUCCAAUUCGAGAUCAUGAUAAAUCAUUUUCAACUCAAUCAAAUCGACCUGAAACACCACCAGCUCAACCUCUGCCAACACAACAGUUUGGAGUUCCUCUCGAGUU
rnacentral:sRNA from 1 species